CUAGCUGUAAACGAUGUGAACUUGGCGUUGGUGGGUUUAAAUCCAUCAGUGCCGAAGCUAACGCGAUAAGUUCACCGCCUGGGGACUACGGCCGCAAGGUUAAAACUCAAAGGAAUUGACGGGGCCCCGCACAAGCAGCGGAGCGUGUGGUUUAAUUCGAUGCUACACGAAGAACCUUACCAGGGUUUGACAUGCAAGUGGUAGAGAAGCGAAAGCGGAUCGACCCUUCGGGGAGCUUGCACAGGUGC
rnacentral:rRNA from 1 species